rnacentral:rRNA from 1 species
ACGCUCGACACCUACGGGAGGCGGCAGUGGGGAAUAUUGCACAAUGGGGGAAACCCUGAUGCAGCGACGCCGCGUGAAGGAAGAAGUAUCUCGGUAUGUAAACUUCUAUCAGCAGGGAAGAAAAUGACGGUACCUGACUAAGAAGCCCCGGCUAACUACGUGCCAGCAGCCGCGGUAAUCUGAGCGGGCUGGCAAGGC